rnacentral:rRNA from 1 species
AAGUAUUAAAGGUCCUGCCUGCCCAGUGAUUUUUUCAACGGCCGCGGUAUUCUAACCGUGCAAAGGUAGCGUAAUCACUUGUCUUUUAAAUAAAGACCUGUAUGAACGGCUAAAUGAGGAUAAGCCUGUCUCAUAUAACUAAUCAGUGAAACUGAUCUUCCAGUACAAAAGCUGGAAUAAUCACAUAAGACGAGAAGACCCUGUGGAGCUUAAAACAACCACUAAACAAACAACUAAACUGUCUUAGCGCGCGUUUUCAGUUGGGGCGACUUCGGAAUAAAAACCAACUUCCGAGCACAGAGCCACAAUCUCUAACCGAGGCCAACAAGCCAAAGCACCAAAACCGACCCGGCCUUGCCGAUCAACGAACCAAGUUACCCCAGGGAUAACAGCGCAAUCUUCUUCGAGAGCCCCUAUCAACAAGAAGGUUUACGACCUCGAUGUUGGAUCAGGACACCCAAAUGGUGCAGCCGCUAUUAAAGGUUCGUUUGUUCAACGAUUAACAGUCCUACGUGAUCUGAGUUCAGACCGGAG